ACAUUGUUUAUUAAAUCGGUGUUCAAUUGUUGUUGACCCACAUUGAACGCAAAUAUCGUGAUUGUUGAUUUGUUUGCUUUUGAGUACAUAAUCAACGAACUUCAACGAACUUUAAACCAUCUGAAUGGUUUCCACUUUAAAUACGAGUGUAACCGAGGAUGACCAGACGAGCAGUGAAACAGCCGGGGAGCGAACGUGUUUAACCCGGGCAAGAAGAAGAAGGAGAUUCUACUCGGAAGGAGAUACCAAACUUUCCUUCAGAAAAUCAGCGAUGGACGCGCAGGAGCCCUGGUCCAGCCGCCGCUCCAGGACGAUGAGAAGGAAGCUGAUGUGGAAUGCGCGGCAGCAGUGGAAGCUGCUCGGCCUGUUCGAGAUCGGGAAGCAGCACGAGUUCUACGAGUUCACCUGCAUGCUGAAGGAGGGGCUGGCAGCCGCCGUGCAGAACUCCAUCGACAACCCGCCUCCGAAUGAGCUCGCUGAAGCAGACUUCAAAAUGGAAGUGAACCAGCGGCACGAUGGGUUUAAGAUGCGGACGUUUGCCGGCUCGGUCUUUUCUCAUUUCCGACAGAGGUUGGGAAUGACGGAGAAGGAGUACCAGCUCUCCCUUUCGUCCAAAGGCUUGUACCUGCAGUUCAUCAGCAACUCCAAGAGCAAGGCAGACUUCUUCCUGACGAACGACAAGAGGUUUUUCCUGAAAACGCAGAACAAAAAGGAGGUCCGAUUUCUUCUCUCCAACCUGAGGGUUUACAUGGAGCACCUGGAGAAGUACCCCCACUCUCUCAUCGUCAAGUUUCUCGGGGUGCACAGGAUCAAAAUCCCAAAUCAAGGAAAGAAGUACUUCAUAGUGAUGCAGAGUGUGUUUUACCCCGAUGAAAGGAUCAGUGAACGGUACGAUAUUAAGGGAUGUCAAGUUAGCCGCUGGACAGAUCCGGCCCCAGAGAGCAGCCAGGAGAUCGUGGUGCUCAAAGAUCUGAACUUCGAAGGAAAAUACAUCUGUGUGGACCAGCAGCGCGCCUGGCUCGUCCGGCAGAUGGAGAUCGACAGCCAGUUCCUGCAGAGGCUCAACGUGCUGGACUACAGCCUCCUGGUGGCCGUCCAGCCGCUGCACGUGGACGAGAGGAUGAAGAGCCAGUCCUUCGCCAGCCUCAUCAUUCGCACAAAGCAGUCGGUGAAUGGAAGCAGCAGCCUCAGUUUCUCAGUGCCGGGGAUCGUGGAGGAGGAGUCGGCGGUGCUGGUGUCGGAGAUGGUGUGCGGCACGGAGCAGUGCCAGGUGAGGGAGGUGCACCCGGGCAGACCCAUCCCCCUGCAGACUCUGGGGGCCCAGUCCAGCGUCGAGUCCAAACUGCAGGCCCAGAACCGCAGGCUGCUGCCCAGCUUCAAGAACCCCCUGCACGUCAUCGACGGGCCCGAGGCACGCUACUUUGUGGGGAUCGUCGACAUCUUUACCGUCUACGGCUUCAGGAAGAAACUGGAGUACCUGUGGAAGUGCCUCCGGUACAGAGGACAGGCCUUCUCCACCGUCAGUCCGGACGUGUACGCCAGGCGGCUGUGCCACUGGGUGGAGUCUCACUCUGUGUAGGAAUGGAGGAGAACUGAACUGCAGCACAGCCUUGGAACCUGUACAUGGCAUAGCACCCCCGAAUGACUUUCAUUUAUAUAUAUAGUGACACAGUAUAUCUCUUCACCCUUUUCAAGACACUAUAAUUAAGUGUGUUUUUUUUUUUAUUAUUGUCUUUGAUAAAACUAUAACAAAGGCAGAAACAAUUCCCCAAACCUGAAGCCUUAUCCUGUAUCCAAACCAAUCCCCUUUCCAAUCCAGGUUUCAUCUAUAAUGGCAAUAUAUAUAUAUAUACACACACACACACACACACACACGUCUGUAUUUGAAGUGAGAGAUCAUCAUUGUUUUUUUGCUGCUUCUUGAGAGCUAGGUAAUUAGGAAUGGCAAGCCUACCCUGCAGCAGAGUGGUUGCUGUGUAAAUAACAUUGUGAAUGAAUGAAUGAAUGAGCUCGCUGCCUGUAGAGCUGGAGGAGGUGCAGCUGUCAUGCUGUGGACCUGCAGUGCUGCUCCCAGUUGGGGUUCCAGAGUGAUUUGAUUGAAAGCACUGGCUGUUUUCACAAUUUUUUUUUUUUUUUUUUAAGAUAUUUUUUUCAUGAAAGCUUGUAACAUGAAAUGAUACUUAUUUUAUAUAUAUUUUAAAAAAGUACUUAUUUUGACUGUGGGCAUUUUGCUUUUAAUUCCUUAACUCAUUCAACACAGCACAGACCUAAACCAUUUUGAACUCAACAAAAAGUACAUUUGACAGCAAACCACGUUUUCAACUGUAUAAUUAUUUUAUUUACCCAGGUUAAUGCAAACCCUACCAACGCCCCUAUCUCUGAGGGCAGUGAAUGCGACGUUAUGGCACAAGCGCCUCGCUGAUACGGCAUGAAUGAUCCGUGAAUCCCAGCGUGUGUUGCAGCUUUUAUUUUUCAAUCUGGGAUGUGCUUUGUCAGCCUUCAUAUGAACCAGUCUGAUGAUGAAAAGAGCUUUGGGCUCGUACACGCAGUUAUACAGCUUGAUGAAGAAGGACAUUACAGCUGCAUUGUCUGCCUGGAUCUAAACCCGACUCCUUUUUAACACUAGUAAUGCCACUGAUGGUGUUGAAGUUUGUAUCUGCUUGCUACCACACAAUACACAUACAUUAUGGAGCAGGCUCAUUAAGCUGGGAUGCUGGUUAACUAGCUAUUUCAAUGCUACAGAGCUCUGCUUCACAUCCACUCAGAAGGGGAGUCUGCUUUUGCAGUGGAGGGAAGUCCCCAAUUUAAGUUUUUUAUAUAUGUUCUGCUGUUUUCUGGUCCCGGCCCACUUUCUUUUAAAUGGCCUAUGUUUCCUUAAAUAAAAUCUGACCACAUAAACAGCUGUUGUCUGCAUAUUGUUCUUUUCAGUUCAGCUGUGGCUUCACUACAGGACAUCAGAUAUGCACGAUGGCCAAUGCAUUACACUGACCUUCUCUUGAAAGUUGACUUGAAGUUCCCAAAUAAAACUGGUUUAGCCCUUGGGCCAGACCAUGGAACUUGAGCGUUACCAUGGGAACUGAUUGGUGCAAGUGGAAAGGGAAUACUGACAAAAAGCUUCCUAUCUCCCAAUUACAGUACACCCAAAGCAACCAGAGAACAAACAGCUCUUCAGCACAGCAAUAAGGGGACCGGCGAUGCUGGUGCUAAUGCUAACGAGGUGAGCUUAUCACUUCUUUAACUGAGACUCCCUGUAACCCAGGUAACUUACCCCUCUCUCAGCACUAAAUUAUUGUAGUAGUGUUUGCUCAGGAAUGAUAAUAGAGUAUUCUCCUAUUCCAGCCAGGCUGUCUGCUUGCCUAUGGGUCCUACUCUUCAAAUCCCAUGCAGCCUCACAGAUUUGUUUUUAGCUAUUAUUGCAGGAGGGCUGGCUGGCCCCUGAAGGUUUAUGUCUCAUACAGUCAUAUUGUACAACCCAUUCUUGGCAAACUAGGUUCUCUGAAUACUUAUUAAUAUGCUGUAUGUAUAUCCGGUUCUCUGGUGUUUGUUUGUUUUGUUUGUACAGCGCUUUGAGAUGCGUGCAUUUAGGCGCUUUAUAAAAUAAAGAUGAUUAUUAUAUAUUAUAUUAUUAUUAUUUCUGUU